rnacentral:misc_RNA from 1 species
ACCAAAAGUCAUCAUCUUCAAUUGCUCAGGAGUCCAUGAAUCGAGAUUUGUAGACCUGACGAAGCUGAUAUGAACGCCGAGGCUGCGGUGCACCGCCGAGCAGUCGAUGCAGAGGAAGAUUCCGUACGUCACCGACGCCCACGUCGGAUUCCUCGCGUUGCAAUCGAAGCACAUCUUGUUCUCCGACCUCGACUUGAGCUUCUUGAACACGGCGUUCUUGUCGGCGGAGCCGUCGGACGCCAUGUGGAGAGAGAGUGGGGGCGGCGAGAGAAAGAGAG